rnacentral:rRNA from 1 species
GGUGCUACACAUGCAGUCGUACGAGAGUUUUUAACUCUAGUGGCGGACGGGUGAGUAACACGUGAGAAUUUGCCUUUAGGAGGGGGAUAACAAUUGGAAACGAAUGCUAAUACCCCAUAUGCUUUCGAGUGAAAUGGAUUUAUAUUUAUCCGCCUAGAGAGAAGCUCGCGGCUGAUUAGCUUGUUGGUAAGGUAAGAGCUUACCGAGGCGACGAUCAGUAUCUGGUUUGAGAGGACGAUCAGACACACUGGAACUGAGACACGGUCCAGACUCCUACGGGAGGCAGCAGUGGGGAAUUUUCCGCAAUGGGCGAAAGCCUGACGGAGCAAUACCGCGUGAGGGAAGACUGCCUAUGGGUUGUAAACCUCUUUUUUCAGGGAGGAAUAAAAUGACGUGUACCUGAAGAAUAAGCAUCGGCUAACUCCGUGCCAGCAGCCGCGGUAAGACGGAGGAUGCAAGUGUUAUCCGGAAUCACUGGGCGUAAAGCGUCUGUAGGUGGUUUAAUAAGUCAACUGUUAAAUCUUGAGGCUCAACUUCAAAAUCGCAGUCGAAACUAUUAGACUAGAGUAUAGUAGAGGUAAAGGGAAUUUCCAGUGGAGCGGUGAAAUGCGUAGAUAUUGGAAAGAACACCGAUGGCGAAAGCACUUUACUGGGCUAUUACUAACACUCAGAGACGAAAGCUAGGGUAGCAAAUGGGAUUAGAUACCCCAGUAGUCCUAGGGUGCUACACGGUGCUACACGGUGCUACACGAU